GCCACGUGUCAUAAUCUGGUGAG
rnacentral:siRNA from 1 species